UACGUAGGCAGCAAGCGUUGUUCGGAGUUACUGGGCGUAAAGGGUGUGUAGGCGGUUGGAUAAGUGUGGUGUGAAAUCUCCCGGCUCAACUGGGAGGGUGCGCUACAAACUGUCUGACUAGAGUGUGGGAUGGGAAAGUGGAAUUCCUGGUGUAGCGGUGAAAUGCGUAGAUAUCAGGAGGAACACCGGUGGUGUAGACGGCUUUCUGGUCCAUAACUGACGCUGAGACACGAAAGCGUGGGUAGCAAACAGG
rnacentral:rRNA from 1 species